rnacentral:rRNA from 1 species
UACGUAGGGGGCAAGCGUUGUCCGGAUUUACUGGGCGUAAAGAGCGCGUAGGCGGAAGCUUAAGUGUAGCCUGAAAGCCCCCGGCUCAACCGGGGAGGGUGGCUGCAAACUGGGCUUCUUGAGGUCGAUAGAGGAGAGCGGAAUUCCUGGUGUAGCGGUGAAAUGCGUAGAUAUCAGGAGGAACACCGGUGGCGAAGGCGGCUCUCUGGGUCGGACCUGACGCUGAGGCGCGAAAGCGUGGGGAGCAAACAGG